rnacentral:rRNA from 1 species
GAUCCUGGCUCAGGACGAACGCUGGCGGCGCGCCUAACACAUGCAAGUCGAACGGAAUCAAGAGGAGCUUGCUUUUCUUGAUUUAGUGGCGAACGGGUGAGUAACGCGUGAGUAACCUGCCCUGGAGUGGGGGACAACAGUUGGAAACGACUGCUAAUACCGCAUAAGCCCACGGUACCGCAUGGUACUGAGGGAAAAGGAUUUAUUCGCUUCAGGAUGGACUCGCGUCCAAUUAGCUAGUUGGUGAGGUAACGG